CCAUAUCAAUCUCUUUUGAGACUACUUCUUCACCAAUCUUCCCAUUACUCUUAUCAUUAUUUGAACCAGUACCUGCUUGCCUCCGGCUCCUCUUCCUCUAUAGGCUUGCAUCCAGGCUCUGUGCGGUGCAUGGUGACCCUACCCGCAUGCAUAAGAGGAUUAUUUCCUCUUUUUCCCAUCCCUCCUUCCUUCCAUCUGGGAUUUUCCAUCUGGGAUUCUGAGCCAGUUACGGCUAACUAUUCAGGUUUUUCAGUCCAUUCUUUCAGACUACUGCCCCCUAUUGGUUCCUGACGAAGCCCUCUUGGGCGAAACUAGCAGAACCGUUACAUGCGGGAUGAAAUGAAGAUCACCUGCAUCUUUAUGCACUUGAAGUAUCAUUUUAUUUGUUAGUCUGGAAUUUGUCUAUUAUGCAUUCUAUAGUAUUUAAUGUACAUCUUUUUU